GCCCGCUCCUCCCGGCCGUUCCGGCCUCCGCUUUUGGGGAAAGGGAAGGCCCCCACCGCGAAGAGAGUCUGGCAACGCCGGACCGGGACCCCCGAGGGACCUCUUCCUCCCCGCCGCCCACCUCAGAAUUCCUUCCUCCCCGGCCCCUAGUGGGAGCUUAGGCCGGGAGUGACCCCUGAGAGGGAGGAGGAGCGGUGACUCCUGGAACAGCCCGCGGGCGGAGAGGGCUGCGCGAGGGCAGGUGAGUCACCGCUCCGCGCACAGGUGAGGCUCAGGGGCGGCCUCGCGCGGGCCCCCACCCCGGCGGAAUCCCAGAGACGCGACCAGGGGUACUGGGCACGCUCCCCUCAAGAGUGUCACAGGUGUCCCGGAGUCACAGUCUUCUGGAAAAGUGAUCUAGGCCAACUACCUGGCUUUACAGAAGGAGAAGCGGAGGCUAAGGAAAGGCCCCACAGCUUCGGGACACAGUGGAACUAGAAUCUGACUCUCAGGACCUUUCAUAAUGUGAGGUGGAAGCGCCCCUAGAAUUCACCUAACCCGUCCCCUCACUCCACAGAUGGAAACACCCGAAGCCCUCUUGAUCAAGGACUUUUUUUUUUUUUUAAGACGGGGUCUCCCUCUGUCGCCCAGGCUGGGGUGGAGUGUCGCGAUCACGGCCCACUGCAGCCUCAAAUCCCUGGACAACCGACCCUCCCACCUCAGCCUCCGGAGUAGCUGGAACUACAGACACAGAGUCUCACUAUGUUGCCAGGCUGGUCUCAAACUCAUGGGCUCAAGAAAUCCUCCUCAGCCUCCCAAAGUGCUGGGAUUACAGGCUAGAGCCACCUUGCGGGGAGGACAUUUACAAACACAAAAGAGGCACCGCAGCAGCUGUCCCUUUUUGGGCUUGUUCCCGCCCCGCCCCCAGCACGUCCCCCCUCCCAGCUUGUCCCCCUCCUCCAACAAAUUUGAGGGACCUGACUUCUAUCUCUAUUCCUCUGGUCAUUUGGGGCAUUUUAUUCUUACCCUUUCUUAUCUUCAUAGUGAAUACUCCAAAAACAAAAGAAAACAAAAUUACAAAGCAAACAAACAACACAAAAAAACAAAAACUACUACAUGCUCACUAUCAUCCUGGUAUAGAAAACCCUAAUGAUGUUUCCCCUGCUCACGGGAUGAUGAAUAAGAUAGAUUUCAGUAUUGGCCUAUAAACCUGAAUAAUGCAAGACGACGAUGUCCACUGCUGGCCUUGUGCUGAAUAGAGAGCAGGGUGCUAGGGAGACCUGCCCUUACCGUGUUUACCCUCUACUCCUCACAUCUCCCUCUCCCCCAAGGGAAUAUAAACUUCUGGAAAGCAGGAGCUGUAUCUCCUGCAGCACCCAGCACAUUGCCCAUCCCCUAGGGAGUGCCUAGUGAACAUCUGUGGGUGAAUGUGCCCACUGUAAUUCAAAGUACUGUGGGCCUGUGCUAGUUAACAGAUGCUGACAAAGGGCAAUAGGACCAUGAAGUGGGGAGAGAACAACCUUUAAGAAAAAGAGGAUGGGCACAGUGGCUCACACAAGUAAUCCCAGCACUUUGGGAGGCCAAGAUGGGUGGAUCACAUGAGCUCAGGAGACCAGCCUGGGCAAAAUGAUAGAACCCUUGUCUACAAAAAAAUACAAAAACAUAGCUGGGUGUAGUGGCACCUACCUGUAGUCCCAGCUACUUGGGAGGCUGAGGUGGGAGGAUCGCUUGAGCCUGGGAGUUCAAGGCUGCAGUGAACCAUGACUGCACCACUGCACUCCAGCCUGGGCAACACAGUGAGACUCUGUCUCAAAAAGAAAAAGAAAAAGGCAAACCCUGACAAGGUCAUUCUUGUCCAACUACCCCUGUCCUGUUUCUGGCUGCAGGGUCUUUGCUCCUGUAGUCUCCUCUGCCUAGAGUGGCUUUGGCGUCCCUCUACUUCACCUGGCUAACUCAGAACAUAAUUCAUAUAUUUUGGAUAUUUGUCCCUGCCCAAAUCUCACAUUGAAAUGUAAUCCCCAGUGUUGGAGGUGGGGCUGGUGGGAGGCAUUUGGGUAAUAGAGGAGGAUCCCUCAUGGCUUGGUGCUGUCCUCCAGGUACUAAGGGAAUUCUCAUGAAAUGUAGUCGUUUUAAAGUGUAGCACCGGCCAGGCACAGUGGCUCACACCUGUAAUCCCAACACUUUUGAGAA
rnacentral:lncRNA from 1 species